rnacentral:rRNA from 5 species
CAACUUUUGACAAUGGAUCUCUUGGUUCUCGCAACGAUGAAGAACGCAGCAAAAUGCGAUAAGUAGUGUGAAUUGCAGAAUACGUGAAUCAUCGAAUCUUCGAACGCAUAUUG